CUACGGGAGGCAGCAGUGGGGAAUAUUGCACAAUGGGCGAAAGCCUGAUGCAGCCAUGCCGCGUGUGUGAAGAAGGCCUUCGGGUUGUAAAGCACUUUCAGUAGGGAGGAAAGGUAGUGGUUUAAUACACCAUUGCUGUGACGUUACCUACAGAAGAAGGACCGGCUAACUCCGUGCCAGCAGCCGCGGUAAUACGGAGGGUCCGAGCGUUAAUCGGAAUUACUGGGCGUAAAGCGUGCGCAGGCGGUUUGUUAAGCGAGAUGUGAAAGCCCCGGGCUCAACCUGGGAAUUGCAUUUCGAACUGGCAAACUAGAGUCUUGUAGAGGGGGGUAGAAUUCCAGGUGUAGCGGUGAAAUGCGUAGAGAUCUGGAGGAAUACCGGUGGCGAAGGCGGCCCCCUGGACAAAGACUGACGCUCAGGCACGAAAGCGUGGGGAGCAAACAGGAUUAGAUACCCUGGUAGUCCACGCCGUAAACGAUGUCUACUCGGAGUUUGGUGUCUUGAACACUGGGCUCUCAAGCUAACGCAUUAAGUAGACC
rnacentral:rRNA from 1 species